UGGACGCUGGCGGCAUGCCUUACACAUGCAAGUCGAACGGCAGCACGGGUGCUUGCACCUGGUGGCGAGUGGCGAACGGGUGAGUAAUACAUCGGAACGUACCUUGUAGUGGGGGAUAGCUCGGCGAAAGCCGGAUUAAUACCGCAUACGCUCUGAGGAGGAAAGCGGGGGACCUUCGGGCCUCGCGCUACAAGAGCGGCCGAUGUCAGAUUAGCUAGUUGGUGAGGUAAAAGCUCACCAAGGCGACGAUCUGUAGCUGGUCUGAGAGGACGACCAGCCACACUGGGACUGAGACACGGCCCAGACUCCUACGGGAGGCAGCAGUGGGGAAUUUUGGACAAUGGGCGAAAGCCUGAUCCAGCAAUGCCGCGUGUGUGAAGAAGGCCUUCGGGUUGUAAAGCACUUUUGUCCGGAAAGAAAUCCUCUGGGUUAAUACCUCGGGGGGAUGACGGUACCGGAAGAAUAAGCACCGGCUAACUACGUGCCAGCAGCCGCGGUAAUACGUAGGGUGCAAGCGUUAAUCGGAAUUACUGGGCGUAAAGCGUGCGCAGGCGGUUUUGUAAGACGGAUGUGAAAUCCCCGGGCUUAACCUGGGAACUGCAUUCGUGACUGCAAGGCUAGAGUAUGGCAGAGGGGGGGUAGAAUUCCACGUGUAGCAGUGAAAUGCGUAGAGAUGUGGAGGAAUACCGAUGGCGAAGCAGCCCCCUGGGCCAAUACUGACGCUCAUGCACGAAAGCGUGGGGAGCAACAGGAUUAGAUACCCUGUAGUCCACGCCCUAACGAUGUCAACUAGUUGUUGGGGAUUCAUUUCCUUAGUAACGUAACCUAACCGCGUGAAGUUGACCGCCUGGGGGAGUAC
rnacentral:rRNA from 1 species